AAACAUCAGAUUUUAAUUUUUGUUGUUCAAAAAAAAUAAAAAUAGAAAAAGCAAGACACAAGGCCAUAAACUGGCAAAAGCUUCUCCUAAAACUUGCAAGGAAUCAGAAAGUGGCAGAAGAGGGAUCAAUAGAAUCCGAAACCCUAAAGAAGGGGGGGUGAUACCCCAGUGAUAUUGGGCAGGCCUGCCCAGGGCGCCCCUGUCAAUUCCUCUUGCCAGUCGCCCCCACUUAAAAAUGCUUGUGGAGGACGCAACAUAUCCUCUAAAUGUAGAUGUCACUACUGCAUCAAUGGGUAAAUUUUCGGGUUCCCAAUUCUGCUAGAUUGCUAUUAUUUUUCUGAGUUCUGACACCCCUGGAUGAGGGAAGUUUCCGAUAAAUUUGGUACCUUGGAUUGCGACGGAUAACUGUUAUGGGCACACCCAUCUCUCUCUUUCCGACAGAUCUCUCCGUCACCAAACAGUCUUCCUCUCCCUUUAUUCGUUGCUCAUUCCUUCUCUUUCUUCAUUGAAACUCUAUAAAUAUAACACCAUCCAACUCUCUUGACCCCUCAGCACUUCUCCAUCUCUUCCCCUUCUCUCCCUUUCCUGAGAAUCUUUUCCUUUCACUAGUUCUUUUUACAUCUUUAGGAGUUAAUUUAUGCAUACGCAGGAUAUUAUUGUUCAAUAUAAAAAAAUAUUGUCCAUAAAUCAUAGACCUAGACAUGGGCGUAUGAAGUUUUUGAAUCCUUUUCUCUUUCCCGUGAACUUUUUUCCUUAACUUUUCUGUUUAGGCAUGAGAUUUAGGGUUAGGGUUAGGAUGUUGGUCCUUCCUAUUCUAUCUCUUGCAUGGGCUAAAAAUGAUGACGAAGUUCUAAAGACCAACAGCAAUUGUUUGCGGAUGGAGCAUCAUCAAGAUUCACAAUCGUUUUGAGGGCCUCUUCGGGGUAGUUCAUCGCUUUAUUCCGUGUGGCCUGUGAUCUGGGAAUCUUGAUGAUGCUGCAGCGGCAAUAAAUGGCUAAUACUAACAGGUUAUGAAGACUAUGCCCUCAAUUUUGGUGCCAAUAAGAUUGAAGGGUUUUUUGCAGGUUAAUCCCGAUUUGUCUGAUGUUUGGGUUAAAGAAGGUGGCCCACGAUCCGUACGGUAAUACGGUAUAAUCUGUGUUUUUUGGGAUAUUUUAUUUUCAGUAGUUUUACUGAAAUCUUUCUCUGAAAGUUAUUCGCACUGCAAACCCCUGGUCUCAGCAGGUAUGUCUGUCCUUUGGAGCGUAUUGUAACCCGAGAAAUCAUGACGUCUUUUUGUUUGAUGUAUUGAAUGGUUAUUCGCUUUUCUCUCUCUCUCUCUCUCUCUCUCUCUCUCUCUCUCUCUCUCUCUCUCUCUCUCUCUCUUCGUUUUGAUAUUCAUUUUGAUCUGCAUGAUAUCGAUCUAACCAGCUUAUUGAAAACAUGAAUGACCAGCUUUUCUGUUGGAAUACACAUAAAGUCGAACAUGCAAUCAUUUUGUCGGUUUCGAACAUAACAAUCGUGGAGUUCUGGGUUUUUCUGGCAUCUGAAUUUGAAAGCCAUCCUUUCAAAUGAGGGAUUUCUUAGAUUUGAUGUGGCAGUUCAAUAUUUACAGUUUCUCGGCUGUUUUUCAUAAUUUUGGUUUGGUUUUCCAGGAUAUAUAAGCGGCCUUUGAAGUGGCAUUUUAGGAUUUCUGGGUUUGCAUAUGAGAGGAAAGUUGUCUACUUCAAAUCUUCUCCAGUUAUGUUCAAGCAGGGGAGCGCUUUGGCUUACUAUCUGUUAAAUGCUUAAUGGAAUUAAUAUCUUACAGUUUUAAGACUUUUAGAUUAAUAGCUGAAUCUUUAAUAAUAAUUUUAUGGUAUAUGGGUUAAAAGCUUAACCAUAUUCAACAAUCCUAGAACUUUCAAUUGUUAAAGAUUAAACUAUUGAUAUAAAAAUUUUAAAAUAGUUGGAUACUAAUUUAGUUAAAACUUUUAUUUUUC